rnacentral:rRNA from 1 species
AACGAUGAGUGCUAAGUGUUAGGGGGUUUCCGCCCCUUAGUGCUGCAGCUAACGCAUUAAGCACUCCGCCUGGGGAGUACGGUCGCAAGACUGAAACUCAAAGGAAUUGACGGGGGCCCGCACAAGCGGUGGAGCAUGUGGUUUAAUUUGAAGCAACGCGAAGAACCUUACCAGGUCUUGACAUCCCGUUGACCACUGUAGAGAUAUGGUUUUCCCUUCGGGGACAACGGUGACAGGUGGUGCAUGGUUGUCGUCAGCUCGUGUCGUGAGAUGUUGGGUUAAGUCCCGCAACGAGCGCAACCCUUGAUUUUAGUUGCCAUCAUUUAGUUGGGCACUUUAAGGUGACUGCCGGUGACAAACCGGAGGAAGGUGGGGAUGACGUCAAAUCAUCAUGCCCCUUAUGACCUGGGCUACACACGUGCUACAAUGGACGAUACAAACGGUUGCCAACUCGCGAGAGGGAGCUAAUCCGAUAAAGUCGUUCUCAGUUCGGAUUGUAGGCUGCAACUCGCCUACAUGAAGCCGGAAUCGCUAGUAAUCGCGGAUCAGCAUGCCGCGGUGAAUACGUUCCCGGGCCUUGUACACACCGCCCGUCACACCCCGAGAGUUUGUAACACCCGAAG